rnacentral:rRNA from 1 species
UACGGGGGGGGCAAGCGUUGUUCGGAAUUACUGGGCGUAAAGGGCUCGUAGGCGGCCAACUAAGUCCGACGUGAAAUCCCUCGGCUUAACCGGGGAACUGCGUCUGAUACUGGAUGGCUUGAGUUUGGGAGAGGGAUGCGGAAUUCCAGGUGUAGCGGUGAAAUGCGUAGAUAUCUGGAGGAACACCGGUGGCGAAGGCGGGACCGUGGGCCAGUACUGACGCUGAGGAGCGAAAGCGUGGGGAGCAAACAGGAUAGAA